CACUGGCCACAAUCAAUCUAUUGCCUUCUUUCCUCAUCUUCAUCUCUCUAUCCCCCUCUCCCAUCUGCUCCACUUCUUUUCCUUCUUCCGCUACAUAUCCAUGUUUCCCAUCCUUGUUCCUCACUCUAUUUGGGUGAGCAAUUCUUGGAUCACAAAGAAGGAUUGCUUCAAGCCUUGUUAUCUUCUUGGGCUUCUAAUUGAGGUGACAUUAGAUUGGGUGGGUGCUGCACAUUAGAGUUAUGAGUCUGUCUUACAUGUUUUCUUCAUCUUGGAAAUGAAUUCUUAUUUGCAUGUAUAUUAUAUCCUAAUGAAUACAAUGAUUAUGACUCUUAUUGAAUUUAAGUGUUUAUGAGUUGUUUCGAUUUGGUUUAUUAUAAUGUAAUGAUCACUACAAACUAGGAAUUGUAUUUUGGAAACCAAGAAUGUAACCUUGUGAUUCACAGAAAAUAGAUGCGGUCUUAAUAUGAAUGAGAACUGCGUAUGGUAGGUUGGUCAAUAGAUUUGGACUAGCAACAUGGAUUUUUUUUGCCUUGUUAUAGGCUGGAAACCUGACCCUACUAUAGCACAUCAUAGGUCGAAAAAGUGAUCCUAUUGUUGCUUUGUUAUAGGUUGGAAAUAUUGUAUCACUGGUGCCCCAUUACGGGUAGAAAAUAUGGCAUCAUAAUUUUUCAUCACAGAUUGGAAAUAUGACACCAGCAUAUAUCUUGUCACGUAUUGGAAACGUUUUGAAAAAUUUUGGUCAGCGAUAACUGCUUGUUAAUCUUUACCAAAACAAUAUAUUAUAGUCAAGUCAAGCAAGGGACCUAGCAAUAGUGAUCAAACUACUAUUGAUAAGAACAUUGUUCAAUCACCGAGCAACAUGUUGUCUGAUCAAUCAUUCGAUAUGAAUUGAUCUAUCCGAACAUGUCUCCUGCAGAAAUAAGUGAUCAAUGAAAACAACCCUUAAGGUAUAUGAUCUUGGGAUGGUAAUAAGAUAAUACCUCAUGAUUAAUUUCAGUUGCAGCAGAGAUUCCACGUUCAAACUGCUAUCGAUUGCUAAAUUUUUUUAUUUUUUGAUGGAAGAUUCAUAUUGGAUUUUGAAGCAAAAUUAAGUGAUUCAGAUGGAUAUAUUGGGUGCUAAAUGCACACUAAUACCACUACAGCUCAGAGUUGAUUCAGAGAUUUUUCUUACUUUCAGCGGCAUUUUUCUGUACUGGUAAAUAUCUUUUUUCUUAUAGUGAUGGAUGACUAAUAUGUUCCCAUGUAACGCUCUGUAGGUUCCGGAGCAGCAAAAUAAACUAAUGUUGAUGGUCAUUGAAUUCAAAAUAACACACUUGAUAAGGACGCAGCAAUAUUGGACCACUGGUACUGCUGCAGUCCCCAUCUCAGGCUUCAAAGAUAAGUAAUGGGAAUGCCAAGACUUGGAAGUAAACUCUCCAUUUCAAAGUCAACAUGGCUAAUUUCUUUGGGGUGUCUCUUCCCCACCAAGUCUUUUGAUUCUCUCUUAAGGGAGAAGUGCUUCCCUAUCACCUUGUUUUCAGAAGAUACUAUUACCCAAAGGCCAAGUGCGCCUGCCAGGGAACAAGAAACAAGACAAACCAAAUUAUAAAAAUAAUGCAAAGCUACCACCAAGCUUGGUUGGGAUGAUAUAAUCUCAUUAUUAAAAUAAUGCACAUCUACCACCACCAACGACCUUGGUUGGGAUGAUAUAACCAAUUGUCCCUCUAGGCAAGGGUAGGUUUUCAAUACCCAAAAAAAUAAAAAGAAGAA
rnacentral:lncRNA from 1 species